rnacentral:rRNA from 1 species
GAUAAACGCUGGCGGCAUGCCUAAUACAUGCAAGUGGAACGAGUCAUUUCGGUGAUUCGUCGCGAACGGGUGAGUAACACGUAGAUAACCUACCUUUUAGAGGGGAUAACCAUUGGAAACGAUGGAUAAUACCGCAUAAAUAACCUCUAGGCAUCUAGAGGAUUAGAAAGGAACAAUUGUUCCGCUAAAAGAUGGAUCUGCGGCGCAUUAGCUAGUUGGUGAGGUAACGGCCCACCAAGGCGAUGAUGCGUAGCCGGCCUGAGAGGGUGAACGGCCACAUUGGGACUGAGACACGGCCCAG